UACGUGAGGGUGCGAGCGUUGUCCGGAAUUAUUGGGCGUAAAGGGCUCGUAGGCGGUCUGUCGCGUCGGGAGUGAAAACUCAGGGCUUAACCCUGAGCCUGCUUCCGAUACGGGCAGACUAGAGGUAUGCAGGGGGAGAACGGAAUUCCUGGUGUAGCGGUGAAAUGCGCAGAUAUCAGGAGGAACACCGGUGGCGAAGGCGGUUCUCUGGGCAUUACCUGACGCUGAGGAGCGAAAGUGUGGGGGAGCGAACAGG
rnacentral:rRNA from 1 species